rnacentral:rRNA from 1 species
CCCUUAGAUGUCCUGGGCCGCACGCGCGCUACAAUGACUCGCUCAGAAAGUUUUUCCUGAUCCGGAAGGAUUCGGGUAAUCUUCAUAGCAUGAGUCGUGUUAGGGAUCGAUCUUUGCAAUUAUAGAUCUUGAACGAGGAAUGCCUAGUAAGUGCAGCUCAUCAGGCUGUACUGAUUACGUCCCUGCCCUUUGUACACACCGCCCGUCGCUCCUACCGAUUGAGUGGUCCGGUGAACCUUCUGGAUUAAGCAGCAAUGCUUGAGAAGUUAGGUAAACCUUAUCACUUAGAGGAAGGAGAAGUCGUAACA